GCGGAAGGAUCAUUAUUGUAACAAAGACGUGGGAGGUGCCCGAAGGCUGUCGGGCUGAUGAAUGGGUCGUGCACGCCCAAAGGUUUCUUCUCGCGUGAAAUGGAUCUCACCCUUUUGUGCAUCACCGCGUGGGCUUCCCUCCUCGAGGGGGGCUCGCGUUUUUCACACAAACCCCCAUUGUAAAUGUUUGUAGAAUGUCCUUAUUUUUUGCGUUGACACGCGAUCAAUACAACUUUCAACAACGGAUCUCUUGGCUCUCGCAUCGAUGAAGAACGCAGCGAAAUGCGAUACGUAAUGUGAAUUGCAGAAUUCAGUGAAUCAUCGAAUCUUUGAACGCACCUUGCGCCCCUUGGUAUUCCGAGGGGCACACCCGUUUGAGUGUCGUGAAAAUCUCAACCUCCUCGGUUUCUUUUGGGAUGCUGAAGGAGGCUUGGACUUUGGAGGGCUUUGCUGGACUUGAAAGGCCAGCUCCUCUCAAAUGAAUUAGCGAGGUUCCCUUUGCCGAUCCUCGACGUGUGAUAAGAUGCUUCCACAUCUUGGUCUUUUGGCUCUGUCGCCUUUUGGGACCUGCUUCCAAUCGUCUCUCGACGAGACAACGUUCGAGCACGUCUCGACCACGUACCCUUGACCUCUAAUC
rnacentral:rRNA from 1 species